GGAAGAAGUCGGCAACAUCGGUUUCCACACAAUCAAACGGAAGGCCGCGGACACGCACAACUGGAAAUGGUGGUGGUUGGCCAGCAUACGGAUUAGAAGCAUGCAGCGGUUGACCAGCAUAUGGAUAAGAAGCCGGUGGAGGUUGACCAGCAUACGGAUGAGAAGGAUACAUAGGACGAGAGGAAGCACCGUAGAAGGAUGAGGGUGAAUCAACAAACGGCUGCCGGUUCAACCCCAUUUCACGGCCGUCUACGCCCCCCGUGUAUUUCCUCUUGGCAAACAUGAUUUCGUCGAUUUGCCCU
rnacentral:misc_RNA from 1 species